rnacentral:lncRNA from 1 species
AGUUCCUCCUAUUCCUCCUGUGAUCAAGAAGUCAAUUGUCAAGAUAACAUCAGAGAAUCCUUCUCAGAAGAUGAUAAAGCUAAGCAGGAAUGCAAAUAUAAUCACUGAUGUCUCUGAUCAGACAGAAGAAGAAGAAGCUGGAUUGACCAGAAGAAGAAAGGGUAAAGACAAAUCAAUCUCUAAUAUAACUUUAACCUCUGACAAUGCUCAAGUUAAAGUUCCAGUAACAGAAGAGAAGACUAAGACUGAAGAUGCUACAGUCUCUUGGCUGAAGAUAAAAUCUGAGAAAACUCAAGAUCAGAAAAAGAAGAGUCUCUUUGGAAGCCUUG